UGGCCUGAAAGUCCUUUUGCUUAGCACUCAUUGAAGCAAGAUGCAUUUUCUUAGCCAUCAUCAAAAAAAAUUAAUUACAUAAUAUAAACUAUACUAAUAAUGUGGUGAGUUGGGCUUCCAAUUGUGAAGCCAGCUCUAGCCUAUCUAUGUUUGAUAUUGGGCAGGGGCGGCCCAAUACAUUUGGAGGCCUAAGGCGAAUCCAAUGAAUGAAGCCUUUUUUUUUAAUAAUAAAUUUUUUUAAUAAAUAUAAAAUAUUUAAAAAAAUGAUAUGAAAAUGGAUAGCUAUCAAGUACACUAUUUCAACAAAGAUACAUGAAUCUAACAAAGAUAGGCAAGAAAUCUUUUUAAUUUAAUAUUAUUUUUGAAUGGAAGUGCAGAAAAGUAAUUAUCGCCAUAAACUGAUUAAAUAACUGAGAUAAUGCUUGGCAAUAUUGUUUAUCAUGUCAAGCAAGAGCGGAACAGGAAAAGGUCUUCCUAUGGCACUUCAUGGUUAUGGUAAAGAAAAGAAUUUGUCAGGAAGGGGCUUCUCUAUAAGAGAAAGUAGGGGUAUUAUGGGAAAUUGACUCCAUCUAAUUAAUAAAAGUCCCAUCCCUCCAUCUCCCCUUCAAGUGACUAAGUGAAUACCCAAGCAGUAACCGCAACAUCACAGCACAGCAACCAUU
rnacentral:lncRNA from 1 species